rnacentral:rRNA from 1 species
GACGAACGCUGGCGGCGUGCCUAAUACAUGCAAGUCGAGCGAAUCAAUAGGAGCUUGCUCCUGUUGGUUAGCGGCGGACGGGUGAGUAACACGUGGGCAACCUGCCUGUAAGACUGGGAUAACACCGGGAAACCGGUGCUAAUACCGGAUAAUCCUUUUCCUCUCAUGAGGGAAAGCUGAAAGUCGGUUUCGGCUGACACUUACAGAUGGGCCCGCGGCGCAUUAGCUAGUUGGUGAGGUAAAGGCUCACCAAGGCGACGAUGCGUAGCCGACCUGAGAGGGUGAUCGGCCACACUGGGACUGAGACACGGCCCAGACUCCUACGGGAGGCAGCAGUAGGGAAUCUUCCACAAUGGACGAAAGUCUGACGGAGCAACGCCGCGUGAACGAAGAAGGCCUUCGGGUCGUAAAGUUCUGUUGUUAGGGAAGAACAAGUACGAUAGUAACUGAUCGUACCUUGACGGUACCUAACCAGAAAGCCACGGCUAACUACGUGCCAGCCGCCGCGGUAAUAC